CCUACGGGUGGCUGCAGUGGGGAAUAUUGGACAAUGGGCGAAAGCCUGAUCCAGCCAUGCCGCGUGUGUGAAGAAGGCCUUCGGGUUGUAAAGCACUUUCAGUGGGGAAGAAAGCCUUGGGGCUAAUACCCUCGAGGAAGGACAUCACCCACAGAAGAAGCACCGGCUAACUCCGUGCCAGCAGCCGCGGGAAUACGGAGGGUGCGAGCGUUAAUCGGAAUUACUGGGCGUAAAGCGCGCGUAGGCGGUCUGAUAAGCCGGUUGUGAAAGCCCCGGGCUCAACCUGGGAACGGCAUCCGGAACUGUCAGGCUAGAGUGCAGGAGAGGAAGGUAGAAUUCCCGGUGUAGCGGUGAAAUGCGUAGAGAUCGGGAGGAAUACCAGUGGCGAAGGCGGCCUUCUGGACUGACACUGACGCUGAGGUGCGAAAGCGUGGGUAGCAAACAGGAUUAGAUACCCCAGUAGUC
rnacentral:rRNA from 1 species